GGGGAAUUUUCCGCAAUGGGCGAAAGCCUGACGGAGCAAGACCGCGUGGGGGAUGAAGGUUUGUGGAUUGUAAACCCCUUUUGAUUGGGAAGAAUACUGACGGUACCAAUCGAAUAAGCCUCGGCUAACUCCGUGCCAGCAGCCGCGGUAAUANCGGAGGAGGCAAGCGUUAUCCGGAAUUAUUGGGCGUAAAGCGUCCGUAGGUGGUUUAGUAAGUCUGCUGUUAAAGCGCGGGGCUUAACUCCGUAUUGGCAGUGGAAACUACUAGACUAGAGUGUGGUAGGGGUAGAGGGAAUUCCCAGUGUAGCGGUGAAAUGCGUAGAUAUUGGGAAGAACACCGGUGGCGAAAGCGCUCUACUGGGCCAUAACUGACACUGAUGGACGAAAGCUAGGGGAGCGAAAGGGAUUAGAUACNCCCUGUAGUC
rnacentral:rRNA from 1 species